GCGGGCCCACGCGCGGGGUCGCACGCUCGCGCCAAGGGCCGAGCCCGACUCCACGCAACUUGGCCUGCGGGUGACUCCGCUCUGCGUGGCUGCACCGCGCAUCCCCGGCCGCCCUCGCCUUCGGGUCGGGACUCAGUUUCCCUCUGCAGCCGGGGACGGCGCGGGCGGGGUCGGCGGCAGAGUCACCGACUCCGCCCCACGCCGGGGAGAAGCUGGAGGGCGCGGUGGGGGGCUCCCGCGGGGUGCGGAGGCCGGCGACCCAGCCGUUGGCAGGACCCCUCUCCGGGGAGCUGAGCUCAGCCAGGGGCUCCCCGCCUCGCCUGGGCUGGAAUGGAAGAGAACCUUAGACCCCGAGGUGCUGGGUCUGGUACUGGGGGUGAAAUGGUGCACGAACAGUGUGAACUGUGGUAAUUUUUUUAAUUCCACAUUUUUAGUAGUGAUGGCUGUGGACGCGUUUGGGGAAUGAUGUGCUUAAACCAUGUGAUUAUAACAAAAAUGAUAACUCAGGUCAGCACAGUGCUUCACUCAUCUACGAAGCCAAAAGUGAAGCCAGGCGUCCCCUACUUUUAUCCAGUGGGACACGUCCUUAUCCUAGCAGACUGUAUUUAGCAAAAUGUCAGUGUGGCUGGAUACUAUAAAUAACUAGAUGUGUGCGGGUCUACGGACUUUAACCGACUCUAAACAUGAUUUGCGCUUGAGCCACGCAGGUUCUUAAAACCUGGAAUUGCGGUGCGCUCUGUAGGUGCCGGGGAGUUUGAAAGCCAGGCUGCUGAGCUGCAGACCUGACAGUGCUACACUGUCCCUGUGAAACGCUCCUGUACUUUCUUCCAGGACUGAAGUUAGGGUCAGGGUUAGGGUUAGGGUUACAAAGGACAGGGAGACGCUGAUGUGCAUUAUCUCGUGGCAGGACCUGGGAGAAAAGUAAAUGUGGUGCCUGUAACUUUUAUUAUAAACGCGGCCCCCAUGCAAGUGCAAGUCCACGUAAGACUCCACAGAUCAUCCGGGCUUUAUUGUGGAGUUGGGCGAGGAAGGCUUUGCACCAUUUCAUUGAGCCUCAGCUCCACCAUUGCAUGUGCACAGGGCGUGGCUGCGCCCUGAAAGCCGAGGCUUGCCUCCAGCUGUGUUACCCUUCAGGUUGGGUCAGGGCCAUGCCUACGCACUGGAUUCCUGGGGCCGCUCAAAACGUGCUUUGUGCAUCCGUCAAUCAUCAUUGCUGCUAUACAGGCAAAACCAAAAAGAACUGUGAAUGUUUGCCUCUGGGCCACCUGCAGUGAUCUCGCACCCUUUGGAGACUGCCCCUCCGAGCCCUGGGAAACACUCCACCCUUCUGGACACAUGUGAGAUGCAGCCUGCCCUUGGGCAGCAGCGUGUGAAGCCGUUCUGCGGUCCUUCUGGCUCAGCUGUUCUUCACGUGUCCUGUGAGCGGAAGUAACAUGUCACAUCUGAGCUGAGGUGGGGCAGGGGCUCUCCGAAGACAUUUUUCUUUCUUGUGUUCUUUCUUUAGCAGAAGAGGAGCACUUAACACUGAAAUGGGGGGCAGCCUCUGAAGAAGACUGAAGCAUUUUGGGUCACUGAACAACCACCCCAGGAAUAGCGUCUCAUAAAGUUUCCCAGAGCCUUACAAACUUUACAUGAGCCCGAACCACAGGGGUUCUGUUAAGCCACUUGGGUGGCUUGUUUGUUUGUUUUUGUUUGCUUGCUUUCCUUAACUUGCCUGGGGACUCACACUCUUAGACAGACAUAGAAUGUUCCAAAGUCACUGAUGCUGUGACUUUCUGUCCACCACGGAAGGACUCCUUCCAGCGGGAGUCGGUGACGCUGCCAAGGUGAGACAUGGGCACUGGGGACUAGGGGCCGAAGACAGACACGGCCUUAGCCUUUCCAAGUGAGCACUACACACAAAAAGGUAUCUCAUGAAUAUUAUUUUUAAGCAAACACCAUAGGACUUUAGCAUGUUAUGGUUAGAACCAUUCACAAACCAAAGUAUCAAAAUAGCAACAACGCUGAAUCUUUUUUAGAGCCAAAGAUAAAAUUUCUCUAUGGUAGCCGUGGAAUUUCAGCCCCUCUAAUCCGUCCUCUCCUACUGCGAGCCCUGCUAUUCCAGGGAUGUCCAGUCCGGAGCUGCUCAAGUGCCCCGUGCAGCUGCUGCAGCAGUGCUGCUGCCGAUCCUUGCAUGAGCAUCCAGUCCACAUGCUCAGGUGCCUGAUAAGAAAGCGAAGCCUUUGACCGAGACACUGGCUUUAAUGGACUUUAAUCAGAGAGCGAUUACGCUCCUCAUCCUCUUCCGGUGAUAAAAUGGAAUUAGUGUGCGUGUCUCUAAUUCUGCAAAUUCUUUAAUCUUCAGGUCCUGGACUGUUUCAUUGUACUCUUCUUUAUGGGGUAUAGAGAAUUCCUAAAAAUGGCAGCAUUCCAAACUUAAAAACAUCUAAAAGGCACUUCCAUAAUAUAUUGAGACUUAGUGGCUUAUAUGACUGUUAAAAGAGUGUAAGUUGUUGGGGGUGAUUGUCUUCCAGUUCAGUUGCUAGUUGUUUAGUUUUGAGAAAGGAAGCAAUGAAGGAAGUUAAGGAAGCAAGGAAAGGAAAGGGAGGGAUGAAGGAAGAGAUAAUUCCAUUAAUUACUUUAUGAACUUAUUUUCAGUCUUGAAGCUUUCACUUUCCUAUAAUCUCCAUUCUACUUCCACUGCAGGCACUAGGGGUUUCCCCGGUAAAUUCGUAUUGAGAGUACAAGGCACUCUAGGUCCUUAGAGGGUGAAACAGUUCCCUGCCAGGAAUCAGUUGGGUCACUGCUUCGGUUACCCACUGAGUCCUGACGGGGUGCAAAUGGCCCGUGUGUGCAGAGCCCAUCCUGGAAGGUGAAGAGGAAGGGACAGACAAAGCCAAGGCAAUUACCGCUGCUCAGCUGGACGGAAACCAAGCACCAGGCAGGUGUUUGCUUAGGUUUCUGUGCCUCUGAUUGCUGUGCAGUUGGCAAACACAUGUGAAAUGCUACACAUCGCUCGCCCACCAUCACCCCUUUCCUGUUAUAUGGAAACAAACACGAACUUUACAGUUGCGAAGAACGCAAUAGAAAAUCAGAAUAUUUAAGAUAAGUCAUAUUUUGGCUUUGAAAGUGAAUUUUCAAAGACUUAAAAGGCUCAUAACGACCCAGGAAACAACCCGGCAGACACCCUCUUCCUCGGCCUUCCCUCCUCCUCCACCCUCCCAGCAGCCCUCCACCGCAGAGAAAGCACGAGGUCUGGACACAGAAAGUGAGGCUGAGCCCAGUGCUGAGAUCCUGGAGAUGAAGCAGGACAGCUGGACUCACCAUUUCAUGUCACUUUUUUCUUAGCUUAUUAAAAUGUGCACAGACGAUUUGUCUGAAUUAUAAUACAUGAGCCAGAUUUUACACAAGGGAGGACUCCGGGGGUAGCGUUUUUGCUUGACUCUGCUGUUCUGUUGAGACUGCUUCUGAGGGGCACUGUGAGGGCUGUCCUGCCUCAGCAGGGCGCUGGACCUGAGGCCAGUGCAUAACACGAGCCCCAUGUGGAGGCCGGCACUGGUACUACAUGUCCACUGUUCAGGCAGCUGCAGUUGCAAAACUAUUUGUGUUCACAAUUUGUUUCCAGUGAGCGAGGAGAUGAAGGCUGGGCCAGCUCUGGGCAGUGCAAAUGUUCAAACGCAGCCACUUUUCAUGCUGAACAGCUUGGGUCCUGCUGCUUGGAGGAAGGGUUUAGUAUUUUCAUAGAUUAUUUAAAAUCUACGACAUUAAAAUCUUGGUCCUGGAUAUACUUACCAAAUCCUUUAAAAUUUUGAAAAGAUGGCCAUAAAUGUUCAGAAACAGAAAUGACAAAUAUGAAAAUAUAUCUUGUAAAGAUGUGUUGAUUAGAAUUUAAUAAAACCACUUGAAAAUUCGAUAGUCUGCUUUUAAUCAGGCUGGAUUCCUAACGCCGAUCUCAUAAGCAAAGCAUCUCUCACAUGACUAAUACCAUGGGACAAUGAUAUAAUUGUUACAUACCUUUUUAUAUAACCGUGUUUAUAAUAGGAAAUAAAUAAUGCAAAACUAUGAAGAGAACUUAUCAAGUAGUCUAGUGCCAACCUCACCCCACCUGCUUGCCAAAUGAUAAAAACAAAAUAAGACAGUAUCUUUCUCGGAGAUCUAAACAGAAAGAAUAUUUUCAGCCUAGAGUUUUACUCUGUAUUACAAAAGGCUAAGAAUCACGAUGGUUGCUGAGAUACUAUCAUGGAUGUACAUAGAACUAUGUAAAAGAUUAACUAUGGGGAUUUCAGUACAUUGUUUGAUGAUCGGAAUGUAGAUCACUUGUGAAUGUAAAAGAAGAUAUAA